AGAGUUUGAUCCUGGCUCAGGAUGAACGCUAGCGGCAGGCCUAACACAUGCAAGUCGAGGGGUAUUAGGAGCUUGCUUCUGAGAGACCGGCGCACGGGUGAGUAACGCGUAUGCAAUCUACCUUUCACAAGAGAAUAGCCCGGAGAAAUCCGGAUUAAUGCUAUAUAGUUUAUAGAACUGGCAUCGGUUUUAUAAUAAAGAUUUAUCGGUGAAAGAUGAGCAUGCGUCUCAUUAGCUAGUUGGUGUGGUAACGGCAUACCAAGGCAAUGAUGAGUAGGGGUCCUGAGAGGGAGAUCCCCCACACUGGUACUGAGACACGGACCAGAGUCCUACGGGAGGCAGCAGUGAGGAAUAUUGGUCAAUGGAGGCAACUCUGAACCAGCCAUGCCGCGUGCAGGAUGACGAUCCUAUGGAUUGUAAACUGCUUUUUGUACAGGAAGAAAUGCAAUUACGUGUA
rnacentral:rRNA from 1 species